rnacentral:rRNA from 1 species
AUACCGGCCAGAGACCGAUAGCGCACAAGUAGAGUGAUCGAAAGAUGAAAAGCACUUUGAAAAGAGAGUUAAAAAGUACGUGAAAUUGUUGAAAGGGAAGCGUUUAUGACCAGACUUGGGCUUGGUUAAUCAUCUGGGGUUCUCCCCAGUGCACUUUUCCAGUCCAGGCCAGCAUCAGUUUUCGCCGGGGGAUAAAGACUUCGGGAAUGUGGCUCCCCUCGGGGAGUGUUAUAGCCCGUUGUGUAAUACCCUGGCGGGGACUGAGGUUCGCGCUUCUGCAAGGAUGCUGGCGUAAUGGUCAUCAACGACCCGUCUUGAAACACGGACC